rnacentral:lncRNA from 12 species
GUUUUCCUCCAGACUCCUGGGAAUCAAAAUGCAGAUCCCAGUAGGCAUGGCCAAAGCUUCCGUAAAUUUGGAGAAGAUAAACAAACUUUUUUGCAGUUUACUGCUCCUGGACCUUUCAGUUCCUGGCCUAAAUUCACUUCUGGGCACCACCAGCAUUCAGAACACAGCAGAGGAGCAACCUGAUUGGAAGUUUGGAGAGCGGAUGGCAACCACUGAAGGGCUUAAAGCAGCAAGAGACAAUGGAGAGACCUGAAUGACCCAUUUCUUGCAUUUUAACAAGGCACCACUUUGCUGCAGAAAGAGGAAAAUCCUGUCUGGACCAUGGCUGUGGCUCAGCUCACUGGGCCACCACUGCCAGCUUUAUUUCAAUAUGAAAUGAUGUUUGGAAGAGAGAGCACUG